CGUUCACCGCGGCUCGGUAGACGGUCGCCAUCGCCGACGCCCGCACUUGUGCCGGCGCCAAGGGCAAACGGGUCGUGGGCGGCGUGUUGCGGUUGUCCGACAGCGCGCGCGGCGCCAGACAAACGGCGAUCGUUGCGACCUUGUUCGAACGCCUGGGCACGAUCCACGUAUUGUUGGCCAUUGUGACUCUUUCUGGCGGCCCUCGCAUCGACAUUGUUGUUGUGGUGGUCGUUGCCGUUGCCGCCGACACUGCCGCUGCGGUCAUUGCCGUGGUGGUCAUCGGCGCUGUCAUAGUCGUCAUCGAGCGGGUCGAGGGCGGCAAAGGCGUCGUAGGCCGGCGCUGCGUUGCGCGCACCGAAAAAGGAGCCGACGCCGGCAUCGCGGCCGUCAACAUCAAUCUCGUCCAGCUGGAGUAGCGACCGCGUCGUCAUAAUGCCGUGCGAGUGGCCGUUGUUGUCUUUCUCUUCUCCUUGUUCCUUUUCCUGUGGGGCGACCCGUUCUUUGCCUGUCUUGCGAACGAGCACAAAUGCAACGCGCGGCACCCGAGGUCUUUUACCCUUUUGCUUUGCAAAGAGAGAGGAGGGAAGAGGCC
rnacentral:lncRNA from 1 species